rnacentral:rRNA from 1 species
AGUGAACGCUGGCGGUAGGCCUAACACAUGCAAGUCGAACGGCAGCACAGUAAGAGCUUGCUCUUACGGGUGGCGAGUGGCGGACGGGUGAGGAAUACAUCGGAAUCUACUUUUUCGUGGGGGAUAACGUAGGGAAACUUCCGCUAAUACCGCAUACGACCUACGGGUGAAAGCAGGGGAUCUUCGGACCUUGCGCGAUUGAAUGAGCCGAUGUCGGGUUAGAUAGUUGGCGGGGUAAAGGCCCACCAAGGCGACGAUCCGUAGCUGGUCUGAGAGGAUGAUAGGCCACACUGGAGCUGAGACAGGGUCCAGACUCCUACGGGAGGCAGCAGUGGGGAAUAUUGGACAAUGGGCGCAAGCCUGAUCCAGCCAUACCGCGUGGGUGAAGAAGGCGUUCGGGGUGUAAAGCCGGUUUGUUGGGAAAGAAAAGCAGCAGGCUAAUACCCCGCUGUUCUGACGGUACCAAAAGAAUAAGCACCGGCUAACUUCGUG